ACUACGGGCGGCAGCAGUGAGGAAUAUUGGUCAAUGGCCGAGAGGCUGAACCAGCCAAGUCGCGUGAGGGAAGACGGCCCUACGGGUUGUAAACCUCUUUUGUCGGGGAGCAAAGAGAGUCACGUGUGACUCAUUGAGAGUACCCGAAGAAAAAGCAUCGGCUAACUCCGUGCCAGCAGCCGCGGUAAUACGGAGGAUGCGAGCGUUAUCCGGAUUUGUUGGGGUUCAAGGGUGCGCAGGCGGAGUUGCAAGUCAGCGGUCAAAUUGCGGGGCUCAACCCCGUACUGCCGUUGAAGCUGCCUCCCUUCAGUGCGCGAGACGUAUGCGUACUGCGUGGUGUAGCGGUGAAAUGCAUAGAUAUCCCGCAGAACUCCGAUUGCGAAGGCAGCAUACCGGCGCGCAACUGACGCUCAUGCACGAAAGCGUGGGUAUCGAACAGGAUUAGAUACCCCAGUAGUC
rnacentral:rRNA from 1 species